rnacentral:rRNA from 1 species
AUUGAACGCUGGCGGCAGGCCUAACACAUGCAAGUCGAACGAGUGGCGGACGGGUGAGUAAUGUCUGGUAAACUGCCUGGUGGAGGGGGAUAACUACUGGAAACGGUAGCUAAUAACGCAUACCAUCAGAUGUGCCCAGAUGGGAUUAGCUUGUUGGUGGGGUAACGGCUCACCAAGGCGACGAUCCCUCGCUGGUCUGAGAGGAUGACCAGCCAAACUGGAAAUAAGACAGGCUCCAGACUCCUACGGGAGGAAGCAGUGGGGAAUAUUGGAAAAUGGGCGAAAGCCUGAUGCAGCCAUGCCGCGUGUAUGAAGAAGGCCUUCGGGUUGUAAAGUACGUUCAGCGGGGAGGCGUUACCCGCAGAAGAAGUACCGGAUAACUACGUGCCAGCAGCCGCGGUAAUAC